CGGCGGGAGGAGGGGUUGAGGUGGUUUCUGAGUUGUCCGGAGAAGGUGGGCAUUUCUCGGUUUUCCCACCCCCUCCCCUUGUCUCUCCCUUGCCUUGUCUCCCCCUCCCUCCUGCCCCGCACCCCACGUGAAGCGGAAUAUAAAGGGGGGUGUGAGACUAGAGGGGAAAGUGAAUGGCGAAGGACUGAAGGGGUCCCCCCUUCGGGUCCCUGGCCGCCCUGUUCACCCUCGUUCAUCCUCCCUUCCCGAAGCUCGCCCUCGAAGGCAGGAGCGGCCGGCGCCUUCGGCUGAGGAGGAGGAGAAGGAGGAACCGCGCCGGGCGGAGCGUCAGGUCCCGUUUUCCUCCCCGGCGUCUUGAAUACAAAGAUUACGGUGCAGAAGGAAAUUGCGCUCGCCUCCUCCGCCCCCCGGUACCCGACACAAUGCACCAGCCGCCUGAGUCCACCGCCGCCGCGGCCGCGGCCGCAGCAGACAUUAGUGCUAGGAAGAUGGCGCACCCGGCAAUGUUCCCUAGAAGGGGCAGCGGUAGUGGCAGCGCCUCUGCUCUCAAUGCAGCAGGUACCGGCGUUGGUAGUAGUGCCACAUCUUCCGAGGAUUUUCCGCCUCCGUCGCUGCUCCAGCCGCCACCUCCUGCAGCAUCUUCUACGUCGGGACCACAGCCUCCGCCUCCACAAAGCCUGAACCUCCUUUCGCAGGCUCAGCUGCAGGCACAGCCUCUUGCGCCAGGCGGAACUCAGAUGAAAAAGAAAAGUGGCUUCCAGAUAACGAGCGUUACCCCGGCUCAGAUCUCCGCCAGCAUCAGCUCUAACAACAGUAUAGCAGAGGACACUGAGAGCUAUGAUGAUCUGGACGAAUCUCACACGGAAGAUCUGUCUUCUUCCGAGAUCCUUGAUGUGUCACUUUCCAGGGCUACUGACUUGGGGGAGCCUGAACGCAGCUCCUCAGAAGAGACUCUGAAUAACUUCCAGGAAGCUGAGACACCUGGGGCAGUUUCUCCCAACCAGCCCCACCUUCCGCAGCCUCAUUUGCCUCACCUUCCCCAACAGAAUGUUGUGAUCAAUGGGAAUGCUCAUCCACACCACCUCCAUCACCACCAUCACAUUCAUCACGGGCACCACCUACACCAUGGGCACCACCAUCCAUCCCAUGCUGGUGUGGCCAGUACAUCCAUUCCCGGAGGGCCACCCUCGAGUCCAGUAUCCAGAAAACUCUCGGCCACGGGAAGCUCUGACAGUGUUAUGCCAGCUGUACCAACUUCUGCUGUCUCAUCGGGUGGCUCACCUGCAUCUGUAAUGACUAAUAUCCGUGCUCCAAGUACUACCGGCAGUAUAGGUAUAAGUUCUGUUACUGGCACGAAUACAAUGAAUACUGUUAACAUUACUGCUGUGGGUAGUUUUAAUCCUAGUGUGACGAGCAGCAUGCUUAGUAAUGCUAGUGUAAAUGCAAGCAAUAUUCCUAGUGCUGCUAGUGUGAGCGUGGGGCCUGGAGUUAGCAGCGGUGUUAAUAUGAAUAUCUUGAGUGGCAUGGGCAAUGGUACUAUUUCUUCCUCCGCUGUUGUCAACAGUGCCCCUAACGCAGCUGCAGGGAUGACUGUGGGAUCUGUUUCAAGUCAGCAGCAACAGCCAACAGUUAACACGUCCAGGUUCAGAGUUGUGAAGUUAGAUUCUAGUUCCGAACCCUUUAAAAAAGGUAGAUGGACUUGCACCGAGUUCUAUGAGAAAGACAAUGCUCCACCUGCUGCAGAAGGUGUGGCGAUGAAUAAAGUGGUGGAAACAGUAAAGCAAAACCCAGCAGAAGUGACUUCUGAGAGGGAGAGCACUAGUGGGAGCUCAGUGAGCAGUAGUGUCAGCACACUGAGUCACUACACAGAGAGUGUGGGAAGUGGAGAGAUGGGAGCCCCGACUGUAGUGGUGCAGCCGCAGCCGCCAACUCUUCAAGGUAUGGCUCUUCAGCAGGUGGAUUUCAGCAGCUCUGGUCCUCCGAGUAUCUCUCAAUCGCAGAUCACGCAAGUACAAUUACAGCCUCAAGAACUGAGCUAUCCUCAAAAGCAAGGUCUUCAGCCAGUACCUCUGCAAGCCACGCUCAGUGCUGCCACUGGUAUCCAGCCACCACCUGUUAGCGUGGUUGGUGUAACUUCAGCUUUAGGUCAGCAGCCUUCCAUUUCCAGUUUGGCUCAACCCCAACUGCCAUAUCCUCAGACGGCUCCUCCAGUGCAGGCUCCCCUUCCAGGGGCCCCACCCCAACAGUUACAGUAUGGACAGCAGCAACCGGCUGUUUCUACGCAGAUGGUCCCAAGCCAUGGCAAAGCAGUGAUUCAGAAUCCCGCUUCAGAGUAUGUACAGCAGCCACCGAUUCUCCAAACAGCGGUGUCCUCGGGACAGCCCUGCGCUGCAGGAGUGGGAGCAGGAACAGCAGUGAUGCCUACGGCCCAGCCACAGAGUAUCCAGCUGCCAGUGCAGCCCGCAGCAAUCCAAGCACAACCUGCAGGGGCAUCUGGCCAGCCUGUUGGCCAGGCUCAGGCGGCUGUAUCUGUUGUACCUCCUGGCAGUCAGAUUGCAAAUAUUGGUCAACAAGCGAGCAUACCUACUGCAGUGCAGGGACCCUCUACCCAAGUCACACCUUCAGUUAUUCCGCAAGGUGCUCCUCCAUCUUCACAGAUAGUCCCACCUGCUCCAACUGCGAUUAUUCAUCAGGGAGUUCAAACUAGUGCUUUAAGCCUUCCUCAACAGUUGGUCCUUGCACCCCAAAGUACCUUGUUAACUGUGCCUCCCCAGCCUCAAGGAGUAGAAUCAGUAGCUCAAGUUUCGCAGCCGUUGCCUGCAGUUAGCCCUUUGCCCUCUGCUAGUAGUAUUUCUGUUACAAAUCAGGUUAGUUCAACCGGUCCUUCUGGAAUGCCUUCUGCCCCAACAAACUUGGUUCCACCACAGAAUAUAGCACAAACCCCUGCCACUCAAAAUGGCAAUUUGGUUCAAAGUGUUAGCCAACCUCCCUUGAUAGCAACUAAUAUAAAUCUGCCUUCGGCACAACAGAUCCCACUAAGUUCUACUCAGUUCUCCGCACAAUCAUUAGCUCAGGCAAUUGGAAGCCAAAUUGAAGAUGCCAGGCGCCCAGCGGAACCCUCCUUAGUUGGCUUACCUCAGACUAUCAGUGGUGACAGUGGGGGAAUGUCAGCAGUCUCAGAUGGGAGUAGCAGCAGCCUAGCAGCCUCUGCUUCUCUUUUCCCGUUGAAGGUGCUACCGCUGACGACACCCCUGGUGGAUGGCGAGGAUGAGAGCUCUCUAUUUCAGUGCUUCUCUCCUACCAGAGGUGCAAGGAGUGAUCCUAGAACCACAGAUACAGCCAAGACCACGGAGAGCUUUUGACGUCAGGGGUCCACUUUCUCCACUGAACCCUUGGAGGCAGAAUAUCCAGCUUCUGGAGAGAGUGGGAAAGGAUAAUAAACAAGUAUCUUGAUAAUGGGAGACCGGUUUAUUUGUUCUCUUAAUUGCCCAGAUUUCUUUCAACUGGUAAACAUCAUACUACUUCAGCAAAAGGAAUUCUUCUAGCAGAGCCUUCAUGGAUGAUAUCUGUCACACAUGCAGCACCUGCAGUUUGGAAGGCAGUGGUGAACGGAGCCAUGCAAUAUAUCUAGAAGACACAAGGAUGAGAGAGCCACCUGAUCUUGUCAUUUAUAAACUUUAAGAUUUACUCUGGUGUACUCUUGGUCUGGAAAUGGAAAGGCUCAAUAAUGAAAUAAUUUUUUGAGAUUGGAGUUUUACAUGGCCAUGCAAAUAUUCCUUUCUAUUCAGAAGACUGAAAUAGAGGAAGUAUGAGAGACUCCUUUCUUUUCAAAGCAGCUCUCUGUUUCACUUAGAAGAUUUGUGGGAUUGAAAAUCACCUUAAUGAUGCAGGCAACCCCACCUCCCCCUUUUAAAAAAUAUUAUAGGAGAUCCCAAAAACUUCUGAAACUGUUUUUUGUUGCCUGACACUGAAAAGAACUAGUAAAUAAAAGGUGAACUUUUUAAUGAUUCCCAAAUUACUUUUAGUAUUAGGAUACAGUCUUUUAGCUUAUCUUUUCUCUGGUCUUGAGCCUUAAUUCUUAUUUGUCUAAACAACAAAGAUUCUAGCAUGAAGGAAAAGAGACGUCUUUUGAGAUCAAAGUAGCUUGGUCAGUCUUCUAAAAUAGUAAAUACCUAUUAAAUUUGAGGUAUUGUUCUGCAUUGAAGGCAUUCUAAGUUUGAGUGAUACUGAAAUGAAGAAAUAUUUUAUUGAGCAAAGGCAAUUAGUAGUAUUAGAAUAAGCCUCUACAUGUGAAUAAGUGUUGCAAAAUCGUUUCCCAAAUGGAAGGAGUUAUCAAAAUACUUCUAUUUUUCUCUUUGGUACCUAUUAACUGGUCAGUCAAAAGCUAUUAAAGAAGUUUCUAAAAGUUACCUGAUGCUGCCAGUUUGUUUUAUUUGGUAUACUUUUUAGGAAUAGAAAUUGUAGAGUUAGGAAGCAUCUAAAAUGUUUUAGGGAUCUUGAAGGUCUUAGGAACCACAUUUACUAAGUUAUAACCUGGCCUUUAGUUUUUCUUUCCAUGAGACCUGUUUUUUUCCUCGUUAAUUAUAAAUUUUUGUAUAGUACUUAAAAGUUUAAAAGAAUUUUAAAUUUGAACUAAAAUAUCCAUAGGGAGCUCUGAAUUCCCAUGAAUGAUUAUAGCUUUUUAUGCUUGAUAUGUUAUUGUUAAAUAUGAAUAAGACAGUCUUUACAAACACGUAAAUUAAAUCAUACCAGCCAUUUUAGAAAGACUCAGGGGAAAUGAAAGUGAAAUUUGUUUGGAAAUUAAGUUGAACUCUGAACCACAGUACCAACCAGUUUAUGGCCUGUGCGAUUAUUAGCCUUUUGUUUCAGCUUUAAAGAUGAAAAGUGAUUUAAUCUCUUAACCUCAUGCUUUGAUUAAAUUUUAGCUCUGUUCCUUAAAGUGUGCAAAAGAAAUGUAAGUGCAUUUCCAUUCACCUCAUGCUACUAAAAGCUAUUUAAAAGUGAAAAUUUUUGUAUAUUAAUGUGAACUGAUUUGUUUAUUUAAACUUUUAUUUUGAUACAUUUCCUUUCAGAUUUUUUUAUAUUUCGUGUCACUAUGCAACCUAUAUUUUUCAGUGUUUAUUUUAUGAUUAUUAGUAUAAGCUAAUUUUUUUUUCUAGAAUGACUAAUUCUGUAAUAUUUGUAUUAUGUGAUCAUUUGAAAACUAAUAAAUAUUUUCUCCAUGAAAAAAAUGCACUUACUGAUAAAUGGCUUAUUUUUGUUUCAGGAGUAGACAAUGAAAACAACUAUUUUUAAGUGUAUUUUAAUUUUAUGUGUCUUCCUCUAAGUAUUUCUGAAUAUAUAUCCUAUUCUUGUGUAUGUUGAUCUUUUUUGAAAAAAAUUUCUCAACAAACUGUUAAAUUAAAAUGAUUCUUUAUUGGGUCA